CUGAGGAAAAGUUGUAUUUUUUUUGCCAUUAUGGGCUUAAGCUGCUAUCUCCUGGGUCAGAGACAUCUGGGAGCAAGGAAAAGGAUGGAUUGGGGCUCUAUAGUUCUACUUCAAACUCUGUCUAUCAUUAGCUGUUGUAAAUAAUGCCAGAUGAUUCAGAAAUAUCACCCCCGGCUUGAAAGCAGAUACUAGCAAUAAAGGAUGCUAAAUUUGCAAGAAAUAGCUUAUCCUUGAGAGGGGUGGUUGGUACUCUGAGGGCAGACAGCAAGGCACAAAAGCACGAGCCUUUCCUUCAUUUGGAUGCUGCAUUCAUGGGACCUGAGAUUUCCUGAGCUUUGAACUCAAGUUCAUCUGGGGUUAAUUGAUGUUGCUUAACUGUGAGGUCAAGCCUAUCUCACACUGCAUUUAGUUGCUCAUCAUAAUACAUUUAAAUAUCUCUUCCACACUCUGGAAUGUGAACUAAUCACAGCCUACAGCUGUCGAAGAACUCAGCUUGAAUUCCUCAGCAUGUAAUGUCCUCAGUCUGUGGUAUUAAACUGACGAAUGGAGGGAGGCAGCGAUGGGCAGACAAUAGGGGCAUGAUAACGGAGAGAGCAGCUCUACAUCCCUUAACCCCUGCUGGACCGAGAAGCUUCUGUAAAGCAGUUAGAGAUUGGUACAAAGAGGUUCUAGCUCUGUAAGAACAUCUCCUCCGUGCUCUUGAGUGGAGGUGAGGAUGAAAUGAGGACGUACGUGUUUACUAAAUGGACAAAUGAACAGUGAGUGGCCAGACCCUAUGGAAGAGAGCUGCGACCUCCGCUGACAGCCAUACGCCCAGAAGACCAAUCUCCGUGCUAGAGCAACUAGUCCAGGGGCCAUCCUGCUGUAGGCCUGUGUAGCUACGCUGGUAUCUCUGGUAAGAAUCCAAGAAGCUACACGAUAACUCCACUAACCAUGUAACCAGAACUUAAUCAGUAACUGAGAGCAUCCCUCAUUUACAUCCCUACUUCCAACUUUGGACCAACAGAGAGCCACAAAUGAAGCCCCUAACCAAUUACAUGGGAUGUUUUGCUUUGAGCCUACAGCUUCCCCAGACUGGAAAGGCCUCCAAUCAGAGAACCUGAACCUUUUUCUCUACUGUGAAGAUUUCCCAGCCCUCUGCCUUGCUUUGAAUCUCUACUAAAUGCAAGUGACCGUGGCUGACUCCCUGCCUAUAGCAAACCCUGCUUAAAGAGCCUUUGCUCAUUCUCAUUUGGAUGGUCUUGGACGUUUCUGCAGUGUAAACAGACCUAUCAUGGUGACUUAUAUGUUGCCAUCAACUAUGCCAUGAACAAUUUCCUAUGUCACCUUCUUCCACUGUGAUGUUUCUGCCUUGGAGUUAGCUAACCAAGGACUGAAUUACCUGAAACCAUGAGCCAAAUUAAUCUCCUCCCCCUUUAAGAGACACGGAGCAGUAAGAAUGAUAGAUGCAGGAGCCCGAGCAAAGGCGAGGUGUGCAGAGCUUCAAAAGGAGAUGGUCAGCCCUGUCCAGACCCCUGUAUGCUGUGUAUCUGGAGAACAGAGGAGAUGCUGGAGAAUUUGUGAAAAGCUGCAGGUGAUCUACAGAGAGGAACAGGUGGACAUGGGGGAGAUUCCUUGGGUUGAAUCACUCAGAAUUUAUACUAUGAAUCACAUUUGGAAAUUGGAUGCAAAUGAAAGCUAAUUACCAUAUUCAAAAAAUCAGAACCAUUUGAAAAAUUGGAUUCUGUUGUAGGCUUCCUAGGGGUUUGCUGUUGAUUUUAUUGUUUAAUUUUGCAUUUUCCCCUGCAGAGUCAUAACAUUUUACUUUCAGCUAGAGUUUAUUCCAGAGAUCUGUGUCUGGAUUCCAGCAGCAGCUAUUGUGUUCAUGGAGAGGCUUUAAGAAGUCUGCUACCCACUGAUACUGUAUGUAAAAUAUAUAAUUUUGAGUCUAAAGCUUUCUUCAGAUUCUCAAAAAAGUCUGGAAUGUAGCACCUUUCUUCUACCUUCCCCAAGUACAGGUUGACUAGACUAUACUUCUUUUCUUUUUUU